AUUCAGCGAUUUACUCUCUCUUUUUUUCCCUUUAUUUUGAUCGGUUGUGUAAUUUAGGGUUCAGGGCUUAGGUUAUGAUUUUCUCUUAUCGUCAAUCUUUCGUCUUUGCUAGCUGUUAGCUAAACUCAUUAGUUUGUUUAUCGAAAUAUAGUAUUAUUUGUUCAUUUUGUCGAAUUUCUGUGAUCUAGGGUUAUUUUAGUUGAUGAAAUGUUAGCUCUUUUUUUUUUAACUGAUUAGAGCUUUCAAGCUUAAAUACUUUUAGUUUCUAAAGAUCUAGGGUUAUUGAAAUAGCAAUUGCAUUUUCAGUUUUAGACAUCCUUUUUGAACUCUUAAUCUGCACAUCAGGAGAUCCCUUCAACUAAUAAGAGCCGUAUACCUACAAUAUAAAAUAACUGGUUAUUUUGCUUUAAUUUUGUGGAUUUAGGCAGAAAUGUAUCUAAUGCUCCCUAUAUUCAAUUGUGUGUGCAUGUGUGCUGAGGAAAUAUCUGUGCAUUAAAAAAAGAAGAAACUCUAUUGCUAAACAUUAUUAUUUGCGAUAACUUUGGAUUUUUUGAAAUUUGAGAUUCACUUUUUUCCUUUUCAGCAAUUGGAGUCUACUUCUAAAGUUCAGCGUUCCGAUAUCUGAUUUACCUGUUUUUUGGUAUCUGUGUAGACUUGCUUCUGUUACUUUUGUGGAAAGCUAGCAGCUGUGGGCAUUGAGGAGGCAUUCCCUUUCUGCACUAAACUUAAUAGUGGAUGAUGCGUACUGUGAUUUGUACUGAAAUUUGU
rnacentral:lncRNA from 1 species